rnacentral:rRNA from 1 species
CCAACAGGGAUUGCCUCAGUAACGGCGAGUGAAGCGGCAACAGCUCAAAUUUGAAAUCUGGCCCCUUCGGGGUCCGAGUUGUAAUUUGUAGAGGGUGUCUCGGGCGCGGCGCCGGCCUAAGUUCCUUGGAACAGGACGUCGUAGAGGGUGAGAAUCCCGUAUGCGGCCGGCGACCAAGUCCAUGUGAGACCCCUUCGACGAGUCGAGUUGUUUGGGAAUGCAGCUCAAAAUGGGUGGUAAAUUUCAUCUAAAGCUAAAUACCGGCUGGAGACCGAUAGCGCACAAGUAGAGUGAUCGAAAGAUGAAAAGCACUUUGGAAAGAGAGUUAAAAAGUACGUGAAAUUGUUGAAAGGGAAGCGCUUGCAACCAGACCUGUGUUCGGGUGAUCAGCCACCGUUCUCGGUCGUGCACUCGCCCGGUUACAGGCCAGCAUCGGUUUGAGCGGUGGGAAAAAGCUACGGGAAUGUAGCUCCCUUCGGGGAGUGUUAUAGCUCGUACGCGUAUGCCGCCAGCUUGGACCGAGGACCGCGCUUCGGCUAGGAUGCUGGCGUAAUGGUUGUAAGCGGCCCGUCUUGAAACACGGACCAAGGAGUCUAAUAUUUAUGCGAGUGUUUGGGUGUUAAACCCAUGCGCGGAAUGAAAGUGAACGGAGGUGAGAAGCUUCGGCCGCAUCAUCGACCGAUCCGGAAGUUUACGGAUGGAUUUGAGUAAGAGCAUAACUAUUGGGACCCGAAAGAUGAUGAACUAUGCCUGAAUAGGGUGAAGCCAGGGGAAACCCUGGUGGAGGCUCGCAGCGGUUCUGACGUGCAAAUCGAUCGUCAAAUUUGGGUAUAGGGGCGAAAGACUAAUCGAAUCAUCUAGUAG